rnacentral:rRNA from 1 species
AGCUCCAAUAGUGUAUACUAACGUUGUUGCAGUUAAAAAGCUCGUAGUUGGAUUUCUGGUCGAUGACGUUUGGGUGCAGCCUCGUUGCUGCACUGAUCGUUCAUUGGUCAAAAUUUGUCACAAAUCAUAUGACCGCUUCAUUGUGGUCUUAUGACUAAUGACUCGUUUACUUUGAGAAAAUUAGAGUGUUCAAAGCAGGCUUUACGCCUUGAAUAUGUUAGCAUGGAAUAAUAACAUAGGACUUCGGUUCUAUUUGUUGGUUGUUCGAGAACUGGAGUAAUGAUUGAUAGGGACGGUUGGGGGCAUCCGUAUUCUCAAGCGAGAGGUGAAAUUCUUGGACCUUGGGAAGACGAACAGAUGCGAAAGCGUUUGCCAAGGACGUUCUCU